GACGAACGCUGGCGGCAGGCCUAACACAUGCAAGUCGAGCGCGAAAGGCUUUCGGGCUGAGUAGAGCGGCGGACGGGUGAGUAACGCGUAGGAAUCUACCUGGUAGUGGGGGACAACUUGGGGAAACUCAAGCCAAUACCGCAUACGCCCUAUGGGGGAAAGCGGGGGACCUUCGGGCCUCGCGCUAUCAGAUGAGCCUGCGUAGGAUUAGCUAGUUGGUGAGGUAAAGGCUCACCAAGGCGACGAUCCUUAGCUGGUCUGAGAGGAUGAUCAGCCACACUGGGACUGAGACACGGCCCAGACUCCUACGGGAGGCAGCAGUGGGGAAUAUUGCGCAAUGGGGGCAACCCUGACGCAGCCAUGCCGCGUGUGUGAAGAAGGCCUUCGGAUCGUAAAGCUCUGUUGUGAGGGAAGAACAGCAUCCGGAGGAAAUGCCGGAGGUUUGCCGGAACCUCACCAGAAAGCCCCGGCUAACUACGUGCCAGCCGCCGCCGUAAUAC
rnacentral:rRNA from 1 species